GGCCCGCAAGCACCGCGCGCAGUCCCGGUUCCUGCCCGCGCCUCUCCCUCCACACCUCCUUGCAAGCUGAGGGAGCCGGCUCUGGCCUUGGCCAGCCCAGAAAGGGGCUGCCAUAGUGCAGCGGAGGGCUGAAGGGCUCCUCAAGUGCCGUCAAAGUGGGAGCCCAGUCAGAGGAGGUGCCGAAAGCGAGCGAGGGCUGUGAGGACUGCCAGCACAGUGUCACCUCUCACUCUCUCUCAGUGCUGUGAGAGUAUGGGUUCCUCUCCCACUUGAGUGCUGGCUACAGAACUUGGCUUCGCACUGCUGGGCUGUGCACCACGGCCCUAAGCUGGAGGGCAGUAAGGGCAGUACCGCUGCAGCCGCAAUGAGAGAGGGGCUGUGCGUUGUCUACAGAAUUCCCUCCCCAGAGAAACUCAGAGCUGCCACCUACUGAAAUGUUCAGGGUCAUCAUGUCAUAGAUGGAAGAAGGUCAAGAUUGAUGAAUAUCAUGCUUCUUCAAACUUCCUUAACCCUGGAAAAAAUGAAUCUGGGAAAGAAGAUGAGAACAAGAUUUCAGAAAGCUGUGAGAAAAUAACCAUGAUAUCAUCAUGCCUUUUCUGGAUUAAGGAGGCAUAAAUUGCUGUGUGACCCUAUUUUCCGGUAGAUGGGGAAUUUAACAAUCAGAUGACAUUUAAUAGCAAAUGGAUACUUGCUAUUGUCUCAACAAAGCACCAGGUGGAAUGAAGAUGAAGCCAGCUGCCAUGCUUAAAGGUCUUUUACGGAGAUCCACUUGGCAAUAAACUGAGGAUGGCCUCUGGCAACAGCCUGUGAGGAACUAGGUCCCUCAGCCCAACAGCUCUCCCGGAACUGAAUCUUGACAACAACUAUGUGCUGGAUCUGGAAUGUGUUGCCUCCCUCAGUAGAGCCUUAGGGUGACUACAAGCCCAUCCAACACACUGAGUACAUACAGCCUCUGAGCAACCUGAAUUCAUGGACCCAGGGAAGUCAUGCCCAGAAUCCUGACCAAUAACAACUGUCAGAAAAUUAAUGUUUUAAGUCACUAAGAUUUGAGGUAAUUUGUUACACAGCAAUAUAUUUCAAAACAAGGUCUCUCAGGAAAUGAUUUUUUGUCUUUGUCUAUAAAACCACUAUAAUUCUGAGGUCAGUAAACCAGGUAACUCGUGUGAUCUAAAGGUUAUACAUUAAAGAAUAAAUUAAUAAAAAUAACCAUUGUUUUGUUUUUCCACAAUCACUAAACUAUGAGUUUUAUCUAACAUCUUGCAAAGAGAUAGGGAAAUACACAACAAAACUCUGGGAUCUAGAAAAGGGGUAUAAAUGGUUGUCAUAAACAAAAAUAAUAGCUGGUAAAGGGAUGAGGCAGUUGCUUAUAAAAGCAAUAGAGAAGAAAACGUGAUGUGAGUGGUUGGUGAAUGGGUAAUUUUCUCACUCAAACAGCUGCUGAGCCCUUGCGAUAUACCACUCAUAGUGAGAAGCUCUGUGGAUACAAAAAUGAUCAAAAAUUGCUCUUUGCUCUCAAGAACAUUGUGGUAUAAUGAAACAGACAGGCACACACAGACUUGCAUACACACUUUCCACUAUGAAACAAUGUGAUGAGUGUGAAGAAAGAUGUUUGUGUGGUGUGUAACAGAGAAGCAUUGACUUCUCAGAGGAUGUGUCAGGUGUGUCCUCUGGGAAGCAGACAGUGAG
rnacentral:lncRNA from 10 species